UGUGCCUACGGGAGGCAGCAGUGGGGGAUAUUGCACAAUGGGGGAAACCCUGAUGCAGCGACGCCGCGUGGGGGAAGAAGCGCCUCGGCGCGUAAAGCCCUGUCAGCAGGGAAGAAAAUGACGGUACCUGAAGAAGAAGCCCCGGCUAACUACGUGCCAGCAGCCGCGGUAAUACGUAGGGGGCAAGCGUUAUCCGGAUUUACUGGGUGUAAAGGGGGCGCAGACGGCGAUGCAAGCCAGGAGUGAAAGCCCGGGGCGCAACCCCGGGACGGCUCUUGGAACUGCGUGGCUAGAGUGCAGGAGGG
rnacentral:rRNA from 1 species